rnacentral:rRNA from 1 species
AUUGGUGACUUCAAUGAGAUACUGACGAGUACAGAGAAAACAGGAGGUGCAGCUCGACCCCAACACUAUCUAGAUGGCUUCCGGGAGGCUAUGCAAGCUUGUGAACUGGAGGACAUUGGGUUCGAAGGAGAUAUGUACACAUGGAGGAACCAUAAUAUCUGCGAGAGGCUCGACAGAGCCAUAGCAAAUGAGGAGUGGUGCACGCAUUUCCCGAACCAUUCAGUCAUCAAUGGACCGCCUAUACAUUCUGAUCAUCGACCUAUCGUG